GACGAACGCUGGCGGCGUGCUUAACACAUGCAAGUCGAACGAAGUGGCGAACGGGUGAGUAACGCGUAAUCAACCUGCCCUUCAGAGGGGGACAACAGUUGGAAACGACUGCUAAUACCGCAUACUGAAGGAGGGGAUUGCGUCUGAUUAGCUAGUUGGCGGGGUAACGGCCCACCAAGGCGAUGAUCGGUAUCCGGUCGGGGAGGAUGAACGGCCCCAUUGGGACUGAGACACGGCCCAGACCCCUACGGGAGGCAGCAGUGGGGAAGCGUCCGCAAUGGACGAAAGUCUGACGAAGCAACGCCGCGUGAGUGAUGACGGCCUUGGGGUUGUAAAACUCUGUUAAUCGGGACGCGGUACCGGAAUAGAAAGCCACGGCUAACUACGUGCCAGCAGCCGCGGUAAUAC
rnacentral:rRNA from 1 species